GAUUUCUGGUUUAAUGCACCUGGCCCGCGGCCACUAGGCUUGUGAGUGCCGGCGCGCGUUUUUACAUCAGAAAACGAUUCUGCCAUUAACUUGGUUGGGAUCGCGAUCUAGAUCUUUUACUUUGAAAAAAUUAGAGUGUUUAAAGCAGGCUUUUGCUAUGAAUACAUUAGCAUGGAAUAAUAAUCUAGGACUUAGGUUCUAUUUUGUUGGUUGCUAGUAUUGGCCGGCCAGAGGUGAAAUUCUUGGAUUCGGUCAAGACUAACUUAUGCGAAAGCUU
rnacentral:rRNA from 1 species